rnacentral:RNase_P_RNA from 1 species
GAAUUCAGGUAAUCGCUGCAAUGUUAGACAUUGUAGAGGAAAGUCCAUGCUCGCACGCAUCUGAGAUGAGCGUAGUGUUCGUGCUUAGCCAAAAAAUAAGCUAAGGCAACGUGAGUUGACGGCGGGAAGAUUCCUAAGUCCUUCGUGAUAUGGAUCCCUUCUCUGAAAGUGCCACAGUGACGAAGCUAGUUUGGAAACUUACUAGGUGGAACGAGGUAAACCCCACGAGCGAGAAACCCAAAUUAUGGUAGGGGCACUCUUAUGAAAGAAAUGAAUGGAUUAAGAGACAGUUUUCUGUAGAUAGAUGAUUACCGCCCAUUCGUACGAGGUGCAAACUGUUUGAGUACGUGGGAACAAAACAUGGCUUACGAA